rnacentral:misc_RNA from 1 species
GAUGAAGAACGUAGCGAAAUGCGAUAAGUAGUGUGAAUUGCAGAAUUCCGUGAAUCAUCGAAUCUUUGAACGCACAUUGCGCCUUCUGGUAUUCCGGAAGGCAUGCCUGUUCGAGAGUCAUUAACAACCGUUUCGAUCCCUUUCUUUCAGAAAUUACAAAGAGGAAAAGGGUUUGGUUAUGGUGGAGGAGGGAAAGGGAGCGUUUAGCCUGUAAAAAAAGAGGCUGUGUUCCGCCUCCCCCCCAAAAUUGUACAGGCGGUCGUGUGCGCCCACGCAUCGAGGUGUUGUAAAAGCUGCCACGGCACUUUUCACCUGUGCAGUGCGAGAUUGGCCAGCCGGUUUAAAAACCCCUCCAAACAAUCAAAGGUUGACCUCGGAUCAGGUAGGGAUACCCGCUGAACUUAAACAUAUCAAUAAGCGGAGGA